GUCUGCGUGGUGUAGUGGUCACCACGUUUGCUUUACACGCAAAAGGUCUCCGAUUCGAACCCAGGCUUGGACA